GGGGCGUUGGCGAAGAUGGUAUCGUGCUUGAAUGGCAUUCAAGAGGCCACCGGUUCGAACCCGGUACGCUCCACCA
rnacentral:tRNA from 1 species